ACGGGUGAGUAAUAUAUCGGAACGUGCCCAGUUGUGGGGGAUAGCCCGGCGAAAGCCGGAUUAAUACCGCAUACGACCUGAGGGUGAAAGCGGGGGAUCGCAAGACCUCGCGCAAUUGGAGCGGCCGAUAUCAGAUUAGCUAGUUGGUGGGGUAAAGGCCUACCAAGGCGACGAUCUGUAGCUGGUCUGAGAGGACGACCAGCCACACUGGGACUGAGACACGGCCCAGACUCCUACGGGAGGCAGCAGUGGGGAAUUUUGGACAAUGGGCGCAAGCCUGAUCCAGCCAUGCCGCGUGCGGGAAGAAGGCCUUCGGGUUGUAAACCGCUUUUGUCAGGGAAGAAACGGUCUGACCUAAUACGUUGGACUAAUGACGGUACCUGAAGAAUAAGCACCGGCUAACUACGUGCCAGCAGCCGCGGUAAUACGUAGGGUGCAAGCGUUAAUCGGAAUUACUGGGCGUAAAGCGUGCGCAGGCGGCUAUGCAAGACAGAUGUGAAAUCCCCGGGCUCAACCUGGGAACUGCAUUUGUGACUGCAUGGCUAGAGUACGGUAGAGGGGGAUGGAAUUCCGCGUGUAGCAGUG
rnacentral:rRNA from 2 species